UACAGAGGUCCCGAGCGUUGUUCGGAUUUAUUGGGCGUAAAGGGUGCGUAGGCGGCGGAGUAAGUUGGGUGUGAAAUCCCGGGGCUCAACCUCGGAAUUGCAUUCAAUACUGCUUCGCUCGAGUACUGGAGAGGAGGCUGGAAUUUACGGUGUAGCAGUGAAAUGCGUAGAUAUCGUAAGGAAGGCCGGUGGCGAAAGCGAGCCUCUGGACAGCUACUGACGCUGAGGCACGAAGGCCAGGGGAGCAAACAGG
rnacentral:rRNA from 1 species